rnacentral:lncRNA from 1 species
UUUACCUUAUUUAUCUUGAUCUGGCCGAAAUUGUGGUAUGUUUCCUUUUUCGUCCAUAUUGCCUUACCUAUUUCAAUUGAUUGCUGUAAUUUAUGGGAAUCAAUUUUGAAUUUUGAAUUUGGUUGAAUCCAGAUUAGGAGAUAAAAGGAUUUCUGCCUAUUUCCUAAAGUGCACAUUUAAGGAAAUUGCAUCUAAAUUGAUUUGAUGUCAAAUCCUUCUUUUAA